UGGGGAAUAUUGGGCAAUGGGCGAAAGCCUGACCCAGCAACGCCGCGUGAGGGAAGAAGGUUUUCGGAUUGUAAACCUCUGUCCCAUGGGACGAAGGAAGUGACGGUACCAUGGGAGGAAGCCCCGGCUAACUACGUGCCAGCAGCCGCGGUAAUACGUAGGGGGCGAGCGUUGUCCGGAAUGACUGGGCGUAAAGGGCGCGUAGGCGGCUUUUUAAGUUUGGAGUGAAAGUCCUGCUUUCAAGGUGGGAAUUGCUUUGAAAACUGAGGAGCUUGAGUGCGGAAGAGGUAAGUGGAAUUCCCAGUGUAGCGGUGAAAUGCGUAGAGAUUGGGAGGAACACCAGUGGCGAAGGCGACUUACUGGGCCGUAACUGACGCUGAGGCGCGAAAGCGUGGGGAGCGAACAGG
rnacentral:rRNA from 3 species